rnacentral:rRNA from 1 species
UACGUAGGGUGCAAGCGUUAAUCGGAAUUACUGGGCGUAAAGCGUGCGCAGGCGGUUGUGCAAGACAGAUGUGAGAUCCCCGGGCUCAACCUGGGAACUGCAUUUGUGACUGCACGGCUAGAGUGUGUCAGAGGGGGGUAGAAUUCCACGUGUAGCAGUGAAAUGCGUAGAUAUGUGGAGGAAUACCGAUGGCGAAGGCAGCCCCCUGGGAUAACACUGACGCUCAUGCACGAAAGCGUGGGGAGCAAACAGG